rnacentral:lncRNA from 7 species
UUUUUUUUUUUUUUUUGUUUGUACUAGGGGGGCACCGCACUACAAUACGAGCGACAGUGUUUCUUUGGCCCGCAUGCACCCACCAAUCAUGGGUUUCCGUUCGGACUCGGUAUGGCUGAUUGCAACGAGACACCGGAAACCUGGAUUCCGGCCGGGUGCAGUGCAGACGACGCAUGCGUGGCAUGGGUUUCCGAUGAGCUUUGGCAAGCGGAG